CAGGACAACACGGAGACUCAGAAAACUCGAAAUAAAUACACAGAAAAACACAGAUCGUGACAAUUACACUAAAAACCUGACUUGAUUGCGAAAAAUUGAUGUCAUCUUUGGAUUCAGUGGUGCAAAAUAAUCCUAAAUCAGUUGAAUAAACAUAGACAACUUCCAAAAAAUAUUUUUUGUAACCCAAUGUUCAAAAAAAUUUUUGCAU